rnacentral:tRNA from 1 species
UGGCUCAAACAGUAAAGCGUCUGCCUACAAUGCAGGAGACCCAGGUUCAAUCCCUGG